rnacentral:rRNA from 1 species
UACGUAGGAUGCGAGCGUUAAUCGGAAUUACUGGGCGUAAAGUGUGCGCAGGUGGCUUCGCAAGUCGAGUGUGAAAGCCCCGGGCUUAACCUGGGAAUUGCGCUCGAAACUACGGAGCUCGAGUGUGGCAGAGGAAGGUGGAAUUCCACGUGUAGCGGUGAAAUGCGUAGAGAUGUGGAGGAACACCAAUGGCGAAGGCAGCCUUCUGGGCCAACACUGACACUCAUGCACGAAAGCGUGGGGAGCAAACAGG